GUUCGAGAACGUGGCACUGGAAACUUCUUGCUUUGGAGACAGAGAUGAAAUGUGCGAGUGAUGUUAUUUGUUGUAUUAAAGCAAGUAUUUAAGUGCUACUUUAAAUAAUAGAUUCUAUGAAUAAGUAUUAUAAAUACCAUUAAUAAAUAGACACGCACAUUGGGUUAACUGAGUGACAGGAUAAUUUUGGUAGCAUCGAUUUCGCACGUGUACUUUUCCACGUGGGGGCACGCGAGCCAUUUUAAUCAUGGUCAUUCUGAGAGGGACUGUCAUCUUGCCAAACGCACGCGAUCUGGAACCUUCUUGUUCAUUCAUUCGCUCGUCAUCUCUUUCAUAGUGAUGUGUCAUGCGUACGCGUUGCGCAAACGUUAGACGAAAAUUGAUGUGUAUUAUAAAAAGAAAGAAAGUGUCAUCGUGCCAUUUUCAGUUGCCUCGAAAAACUCACGAAAAUCUUCGAGUGCGCGCAACGACGCAGAUAUAUUUAGACGUGGAGCGUCGUCGCCAGUGGCGCUUGUCGCUUAUAAGCACUGUGACAUAGUUUUCGCAUAAUCACAAUCAACGACGCCUUCAAACCGGGAUCGCUCGCACGUUUAAUUUCGUAUUUCCACGAAGAGGCGCGUGCCACGCGUGUUUUCCGUCACUCGAAUUCUUCCUUGGUUUGGUUAAAAGUGAAAGUUUCAUUCGACGAGUCACAAACUAAAUCUUCGAAACGUUUGACGCUGUGCCGAGUCCGCAAAUAUCUACUCUUAAAAAAGGAACCUCCCCUAACGUCAAGAAAAUAAUAUAAAUACGUUCUAAACUGUUUACAUCGAAAAGUAACUUUAUUUUGUCUGAAUCUAGAAUAAGUAUACCCAAAAAAUUUUAAACAAAAGAAUAUAACACUUAUUUAAACCUUCAA